UACGUAGGGGGCAAGCGCUGUCCGGAAUCAUUGGGCGUAAAGAGCGUGUAGGCGGCCUGAUAAGUCGGCUGUGAAAGUCAAGGGCUCAACCCUUGAAUGCCGGCCGAUACUGUCAGGCUAGAAUCCGGAAGAGGCAAGUGGAAUUCCCGGUGUAGCGGUGAAAUGCGCAGAUAUCGGGAGGAACACCAGUGGCGAAGGCGGCUUCCUGGCCUGUUCUUGACGCUGAGGCGCGAAAGCUAGGGUAGCAAACGGG
rnacentral:rRNA from 1 species